AACGAACGCUGGCGGCAUGCCUAACACAUGCAAGUCGAACGAGACCUUCGGGUCUAGUGGCGCACGGGUGCGUAACGCGUGGGAACCUGCCCUUAGGUUCAGAAUAACUCCCCGAAAGGGGUGCUAAUACCGGAUAAUGUCGUCGGACCAAAGAUUUAUCGCCUUUGGAUGGGCCCGCGUUGGAUUAGCUAGUUGGUAGGGUAAAAGCCUACCAAGGCGACGAUCCAUAGCUGGUCUGAGAGGAUGAUCAGCCACACUGGGACUGAGACACGGCCCAGACUCCUACGGGAGGCAGCAGUGGGGAAUAUUGGACAGUGGGCGAGAGCCUGAUCCAGCAAUGCCGCGUGAGUGAUGCAGGCCUUAGGGUUGUAAAGCUCUUUUACCCGGGAUGAUAAUGACAGUACCGGGAGAAUAAGCUCCGGCUAACUCCGUG
rnacentral:rRNA from 1 species